AGUCGUACUCAUUGAAUUCAUGUUUUCUAUCUGCACAGUUUAGAAAAGAAAAAAAUAUGACUUUUAAUAAAGUACUUCUCUUACUCGUUUUACUUGUCAUCCUAGUCCAAAUACAGGCUGGUUUAGUUGGCGACACUGUUAAGGACACUAAGGAUGGACUGUUUGAUCUCCAAAAUAAUCUUGACACCGUCGUACAGGAUGGGGUACUUUAAUGAAGUAUCGUAGAAUUUAUUUCAGAUGCAAAUGGUUGAGGCGAUCCCUUACAAUGAGCUAGCUUCAACUGCAUCUGUAUGUCUAUCAAUCCUUCUCAUGUGUUAUUGCAAAUAAAAAUCUGUAGUUUGCCUUUGGA